GACGAACGCUGGCGGCGUGCCUAAUACAUGCAAGUAGAACGCUGAAGGAGGAGCUUGCUCUUCUGGAUGAGUUGCGAACGGGUGAGUAACGCGUAGGUAACCUGCCUGGUAGCGGGGGAUAACUAUUGGAAACGAUAGCUAAUACCGCAUAAGAGUAGAUGUUGCAUGACAUUUGCUUAAAAGGUGCAAUUGCAUCACUACCAGAUGGACCUGCGUUGUAUUAGCUAGUUGGUGGGGUAACGGCUCACCAAGGCGACGAUACAUAGCCGACCUGGGAGGGUGAUCGGCCACACUGGGACUGAGACACGGCCCAGACGCCUACGGGAGGAAGCAGUAGGGAAUCUUCGGAAAUGGACGGAAGUCUGACCGAGCAACGCCGCGGGAGUGAAGAAGGUUUUCGGAUCGUAAAGCUCUGUUGUAAGAGAAGAACGAGUGUGAGAGUGGAAAGUUCACACUGUGACGGUAUCUUACCAGAAAGGGACGGCUAACUACGUG
rnacentral:rRNA from 1 species